GGACUGCACAGGAGGAGGGGCAGCAGCCAUGAGGAAGACUCAGGGAGAGAGAAGAGCUGAACCAUCUGAAACUUUCUCUCUCUCUCAAAACUCAUGAUCAGGGAACUGCCUGCCUUCAGAGGAAAUCUUCACCUGCAUCUGGAUGAUACUUGGUGGUAGCUAAUAGUAGAUGGGAGCUGCAAAUGCCAUGACCAGGCUGACAGAGGCAGAAAUGUGUAUGGCUCCAUGGGUGGAUCCAGGAUUCAGUGAAGUUGGGUGCCGCAACUGGUGCUGAAAGGAUGACUCCCAGCUUCCCUCUGCAACCAGAGGCAGGUAGACAUGUUACAGGAACAGCAGUCAGGGACUUCUUUACAUCCCACAACCAGGCUGCUCCUGGACUGACAGGGAACAGAGCAGAGAGGAAGAACCUGCCCCCUGCUUUUGUCUGAAGUGGAGCCAAAGCACCUCUGCUGGAUCUGCCCCUGUAUAUGUCCUGUUCCAGCUCCCACCCAGAUCAACAGAAGUUGGAGCAAGUCCAUGCAUACCACGAAUAAUUUCAGUAACCGUCACAGAUCUGUGUAACAUCAGUCUGAUGUAUUCUGUUUGUAGAGUUCCAUGCAAUAUUUACCAGGAUUGUUGCAUAUGAUGAAAAAACCCAAGUUGUUUUCCUACAGGAAACUCACAUUUUUAGAAGGGGAAGGGCUAGAGUUGUACAAGACCAAAGCGUAGACCAGUUUUGCCACACACCGAAAGUUUUGCAUGGCCCUAGUCCCAUCAGAGAAAGGGUGUUACGUAUACCAAACAUUGCUAUUAGUGAUAUUCAGUUUUUGUAUGUCCUACUUUUCCAUGAAUAAAAAUCCUUAGUAUUGAUCUUA